CAUGUAAAUCGCGAAUAAGCGUUAUGCGUCCGUGGAUUAUUCGGUUUUUUGUACCGUUUUGUAUAUUGUAUUAUAUUUAUUGGUUUUCUCGUAUAUAUAUAUAUAUGUUGCAACACAAAUUUAAACCAUGAUCGAAUUCAAAGAUUGUUCUUGAACUACAAGAAUAUUGAUGAAACUAUUACCGUUGAUGUCGACAAAUCUCAACCUGAUGAAAAAAAUAUUGCAGCUGUUUUGCAUUAUACUGGGUUAUUGCUUCAAUUUUCUGCAGUAACAAAUUUGGGGGAACAUCAAUCAUUUGCUAUUCUUGACUAUAAUGUGGAGAAAA